rnacentral:RNase_P_RNA from 2 species
AAAGUAGACGAGGUGAUCGCCGGUUAUAAUGAAUCUUCGGAUUUAUUAUUGGACGGGAGGAAAGUCCGAGCUCCAUAGGGCGCAGUGCUCCGUAACGCGGAGUCCCGGCGACGGGAAGGAAAGUGCAACAGAAAAUAUACCGUCUCAUCUUUUUUUUCGAUGGGAUAAGGGUGAAAUGGCGGGGCCGAAAGGCUUAAUGUAAGAGCCCACCGCUCCGGCGGCGACGUUGGAGGCAUGGCAAACCCCACUGGGAGAAAGGCCAAAUAGGGAGGGAUGAAGCUGCCCGCUUCGCUAUACCUUCGGGUAGGCCGUUAGAUCUCGCUGGCAACAACGAGGCUAGAUGAAUGAUCACCCACGACAAGACUCGGCUUAUUGUCUACUUUUACC